rnacentral:rRNA from 1 species
GAUGAACGCUGGCGGCGUGCCUAAUACAUGCAAGUCGAGCGAACGGACGAGAAGCUUGCUUUUCUGAUGUUAGCGGCGGACGGGUGAGUAACACGUGGAUAACCUACCUAUAAGACUGGGAUAACUUCGGGAAACCGGAGCUAAUACCGGAUAAUAUUUUGAACCGCAUGGUUCAAAAGUGAAAGACGGUCUUCCUGUCACUUAUAGAUGGAUCCGCGCUGCAUUAGCUAGUUGGUAAGGUAACGGCUUACCAAGGCAACGAUGCAUAGCCGACCUGAGAGGGUGAUCGGCAACACUGGAACUGAGACACGGUCCAGCCUCCUACGGGAGGCAGCAGUAGGGAAUCUUCCGCAAUGGGCGAAAGCCUGACGGAGCAACGCCGCGUGAGUGAUGAAGGUCCUCGGAUCGUAAAACUCUGUUAUUAGGGAAGAACAUAUGUGUAAGUAACUGUGCACAUCUUGACGGUACCUAAUCAGAAAGCCACGGCUAACUACGUG